rnacentral:rRNA from 1 species
GUUACAGCCGGCGAUGUCCGAAUGGGGAAACCCAGUGCAAUUCGUUGCACUAUCGUUAACUGAAUACAUAGGUUAACGAGGCGAACCGGGGGAACUGAAACAUCUAAGUACCCCGAGGAAAAGAAAUCAACCGAGAUUCCCCCAGUAGCGGCGAGCGAACGGGGAGCAGCCCAGAGUCUGAAUCAGCUUGUGUGUUAGUGGAACGGUCUGGAAAGUCCGACGGUACAGGGUGAUAGUCCCGUACACCAAAAUGCACAGGCUGUGAACUCGAAGAGUAGGGCGGGACACGUGGUAUCCUGUCUGAAUAUGGGGGGACCAUCCUCCAAGGCUAAAUACUCCUGACUGACCGAUAGUGAACCAGUACCGUGAGGGAAAGGCGAAAAGAACCCCGGCGAGGGGAGUGAAAAAGAACCUGAAACCGUGUACGUACAAGCAGUGGGAGCACCUUCGGGUGUGACUGCGUACCUUUUGUAUAAUGGGUCAGCGACUUAUAUUCUGUAGCAAGGUUAACCGUAUAGGGGAGCCGCAGGGAAACCGAGUCUUAACUGGGCGUUAAGUUGCAGGGUAUAGACCCGAAACCCGGUGAUCUAGCCAUGGGCAGGUUGAAGGUUGGGUAACACUAACUGGAGGACCGAACCGACUAAUGUUGAAAAAUUAGCGGAUGACUUGUGGCUGGGGGUGAAAGGCCAAUCAAACCGGGAGAUAGCUGGUUCUCCCCGAAAGCUAUUUAGGUAGCGCCUCGUGAACUCAUCUUCGGGGGUAGAGCACUGUUUCGGCUAGGGGGUCAUCCCGACUUACCAACCCGAUGCAAACUACGAAUACCGAAGAAUGUUAUCACGGGAGACACACGGCGGGUGCUAACGUCCGUCGUGAAGAGGGAAACAACCCAGACCGCCAGCUAAGGUCCCAAAGUCAUGGUUAAGUGGGAAACGAUGUGGGAAGGCACAGACAGCCAGGAUGUUGGCUUAGAAGCAGCCAUCAUUUAAAGAAAGCGUAAUAGCUCACUGGUCGAGUCGGCCUGCGCGGAAGAUGUAACGGGGCUAAACCAUGCACCGAAGCUGCGGCAGCGACACUAUGUGUUGUUGGGUAGGGGAGCGUUCUGUAAGCCUGCGAAGGUGUGCUGUGAGGCAUGCUGGAGGUAUCAGAAGUGCGAAUGCUGACAUAAGUAACGAUAAAGCGGGUGAAAAGCCCGCUCGCCGGAAGACCAAGGGUUCCUGUCCAACGUUAAUCGGGGCAGGGUGAGUCGACCCCUAAGGCGAGGCCGAAAGGCGUAGUCGAUGGGAAACAGGUUAAUAUUCCUGUACUUGGUGUUACUGCGAAGGGGGGACGGAGAAGGCUAUGUUAGCCGGGCGACGGUUGUCCCGGUUUAAGCAUGUAGGCUGAUUGUCCAGGCAAAUCCGGAUAAUCAAGGCUGAGGUGUGAUGACGAGGCACUACGGUGCUGAAGUAACAAAUGCCCUGCUUCCAGGAAAAGCCUCUAAGCAUCAGGUAACAUUAAAUCGUACCCCAAACCGACACAGGUGGUCAGGUAGAGAAUACCAAGGCGCUUGAGAGAACUCGGGUGAAGGAACUAGGCAAAAUGGUGCCGUAACUUCGGGAGAAGGCACGCUGGUGUGUAGGUGAAGUCCCUGCGGAUGGAGCUGAGACCAGUCGAAGAUACCAGCUGGCUGCAACUGUUUAUUAAAAACACAGCACUGUGCAAACACGAAAGUGGACGUAUACGGUGUGACGCCUGCCCGGUGCCGGAAGGUUAAUUGAUGGGGUUAUCCGUAAGGAGAAGCUCUUGAUCGAAGCCCCGGUAAACGGCGGCCGUAACUAUAACGGUCCUAAGGUAGCGAAAUUCCUUGUCGGGUAAGUUCCGACCUGCACGAAUGGCGUAAUGAUGGCCAGGCUGUCUCCACCCGAGACUCAGUGAAAUUGAACUCGCUGUGAAGAUGCAGUGUACCCGCGGCAAGACGGAAAGACCCCGUGAACCUUUACUAUAGCUUGACACUGAACAUUGAGCCUUGAUGUGUAGGAUAGGUGGGAGGCUUUGAAGCGUGGACGCCAGUCUGCGUGGAGCCAACCUUGAAAUACCACCCUUUAAUGUUUGAUGUUCUAACGUUGGCCCCUGACCGGGGUUGCGGACAGUGUCUGGUGGGUAGUUUGACUGGGGCGGUCUCCUCCCAAAGCGUAACGGAGGAGCACGAAGGUUAGCUAAUCCUGGUCGGACAUCAGGAGGUUAGUGCAAUGGCAUAAGCUAGCUUGACUGCGAGCGUGACGGCGCGAGCAGGUGCGAAAGCAGGUCAUAGUGAUCCGGUGGUUCUGAAUGGAAGGGCCAUCGCUCAACGGAUAAAAGGUACUCCGGGGAUAACAGGCUGAUACCGCCCAAGAGUUCAUAUCGACGGCGGUGUUUGGCACCUCGAUGUCGGCUCAUCACAUCCUGGGGCUGAAGUAGGUCCCAAGGGUAUGGCUGUUCGCCAUUUAAAGUGGUACGCGAGCUGGGUUUAGAACGUCGUGAGACAGUUCGGUCCCUAUCUGCCGUGGGCGCUGGAGAAUUGAGGGGGGCUGCUCCUAGUACGAGAGGACCGGAGUGGACGCAUCACUGGUGUUCGGGUUGUCAUGCCAAUGGCACUGCCCGGUAGCUAAAUGCGGAAGAGAUAAGUGCUGAAAGCAUCUAAGCACGAAACUUGCCCCGAGAUGAGUUCUCCCUGAGACUUUAAGUCUCCUGAAGGAACGUUGAAGACGACGACGUUGAUAGGCCGGGUGUGUAAGCGCAGCGAUGCGUUGAGCUAACCGGUACUAAUGAACCGUGAGGCUUAACCUU